rnacentral:misc_RNA from 1 species
GAAAUGCGAUAAGUAAUGUGAAUUGCAGAAUUCAGUGAAUCAUCGAAUCUUUGAACACACCUUGUGCUCCUUGGUAUUCCUUGGAGCAUGCCUGUUUGAGUAUCAUGAAAUCUUCAAAGUAAAUCUUUUGUUAACUCAAUUGGUUUCUACUUUGGUAUUGGAGGUCUUUGCAGCUUCACACCUGCCCCUCUUUGUUCAUUAGCUGGAUCUCAGUGUUAUGCUUGGUUCCACUCGGCGUGAUAAGUUAUCUAUCGCUGAGGACACUGUAAAAGGUGGCCAAGGUAAAUGCAGAUGAACCGCUUCUAAUAGUCCAUUGACUUGGACAAUACUUUUAUGAUCUGAUCUCAAAUCAGGUAGGACUACCCGCUGAACUUAAGC